AAACUUUCAACAACGGAUCUCUUGGCUCUGGCAUCGAUGAAGAACGCAGCGAAAUGCGAUAAGUAAUGUGAAUUGCAGAAUUUAGUGAAUCAUCGAAUCUUUGAACGCACAUUGCGCCCCUUGGUAUUCCGAGGGGCAUGCCUGUUCGAGCGUCGUCAC
rnacentral:rRNA from 2 species